UCCCUCAUGCAAGUUAUGUGACUUACAACAAAUGCAACAGAAACUACGAGGCGUGAGGGCAUUCCUGACCCCCAGGGAAGGCUGACCAACUGCAAAGGUUUGAACACUGACAUCAACUCCAGUGGGCCCUGAGAGAGAACCUGUCCUCUCUGAGCCUCAGUGGCUUUCUCUGUCACAAGGACAACAUUCCAAGACGGUUGGGUGUAUCAUCAGACCUCAGUUAGAAAAUACGAAAAACCGAUUUGGAGGAAGGAAGGAAUAAGAACCAAACAAAAAGAAAGGAAACAGGAAAUCCAAAGUGGGUCCUGCCAAUGCUGAGUGUUAUUUAUACAAGAAAAUGAUGGUUUCUUCCGACCUCAUCACCAGGAGCCCUUCCCAGAUCUCAAGUUGUCAGAUUCCUAGUUCUUCCUGCAACUUGAUGAGAUGCCGGGGUCCUUAGGCCUGUCGGGACGGAUCCUCAGAACUCAGCAGCUCUCCCCUUCCCCAGUCCAUGCCAGUCAGGCUGGACUGGGUCUUUCUUUGCUCUGAGGCCACUAUGUUCACAGAGAAGGCAGAUGAGAAGAUGGAGAAGCAGUGGCCAAGGAAAAAAGGAGUCUUUGUACAGGAAAGUCCUCUGAAGGCUAAUGCAGGGUCGCGUGUGGAUUCCUAGGACUGCCAUAACCAAGAACCACAAACAGGGUGAUUGAAAACACCUGAAAUGUAUUGUCUGACAGUUCUGGAGGCCACAUGUCCAAAAUGAAUGAUCAGCAGGACCGUGCUCUCUCCAGAGCCGUCUAGGCAGACAGACCCCGCUUUUCUUCUUCCAGCUCCUAGUGUUGCCAGCCUCCUCUGUGGCACUGCUUGACUUGUGACUGCCCACUCCAGUCUCACGGCCACCUUCUCCCUGUGUCUCUUCACAUCAUCUUCCCUCUGCAUGUCUAAGUCUGUGCUCAAAUUUCCCUUUUGGGGGGAGGGUGGACUGGGGAUUGAACUCAGGGGCACUCGACUGCACCCCAGCCCU